rnacentral:rRNA from 3 species
UCUGGUGGCGAUAGCGAAGAGGUCACACCCGUUCCCAUGCCGAACACGGAAGUUAAGCUCUUCAGCGCCGAUGGUAGUUGGGGGUUUCCCCCUGUGAGAGUAGGACGUUGCCAGGU